rnacentral:lncRNA from 1 species
UUGGUUCCAAAUCAUAGGAGUGCAGUAAUGUUAAUAUAAUUCUUAGAGUAAGAACAAUGCUUAUGUUUCAAAUAGUAUUAAGGUGGAGGUUCAGAAAAAGGUAGUCUUUGUUAUUGCCCUGCCCACAAUAGUUCACAGUAAAAAGGUGACAUUAAGGUGGGCCCACUUCAUGGUUCAAAAAAGACCCAAUUCAUCUACCGCACCCCCUCAUCCCUAUCGUCUCAUCUUGCCGCUGGUCCUCUCUCCCGCUCGCAUCGCGUGCCCGCCGCCCCUCGGCAGAACGGCGGACGGGCGGAGAUCAGAUAGGAGAUCGUCGAUUCACUUAUGUGAUCAGGUGAUUCAAUUGCCAAUUUUCCAAUUCUCCAUACCAUUAAUUAUUAAUUUACUAUCACAAGUUAUUUAAUCUCAACUAAUUUAUAACUAUUAUAUAUUUAUAAUAAUU